AGGCUGCAACUCGCCUGCAUGAAGUUGGAAUUGCUAGUAAUCGCGAAUCAGAAUGUCGCGGUGAAUACGUUCCCGGGCCUUGUACACACCGCCCGUCACACCAUGAGAGUUGGCAAUACCCAACGUACGUGAUCUAACCCGCAAGGGAGGAAGCGUCCUAAGGUAGGGUCAGCGAUUGGGGUGAAGUCGUAACAAGGUACC
rnacentral:rRNA from 1 species